rnacentral:tRNA from 1 species
GGAGUGGUAGUUCAGUUGGUUAGAAUGCAGCCCUGUCACGGCUGAGGUCGCGGGUUCGAGUCCCGUCCACUCCG